rnacentral:rRNA from 1 species
CCAGACUCCUACGGGAGGCAGCAGUGAGGAAUAUUGGUCAAUGGCCGAGAGGCUGAACCAGCCAAGUCGCGUGAGGGAAGACGGCCCUACGGGUUGUAAACCUCUUUUGUCGGGGAGCAAAGCGAGUCACGUGUGACUCAUUGAGAGUACCCGAAGAAAAAGCAUCGGCUAACUCCGUGCCAGCAGCCGCGGUAAUACGGAGGAUGCGAGCGUUAUCCGGAUUUAUUGGGUUUAAAGGGUGCGUAGGCGGGCUGUUAAGUCAGCGGUAAAAGCCCGGGGCUCAACCCCGGCGAGCCGUUGAAACUGGCUGUCUUGAGAUGUCGAGAGGUAUGCGGAAUGCGCGGUGUAGCGGUGAAAUGCAUAGAUAUCGCGCAGAACUCCGAUUGCGAAGGCAGCAUGCCGGCUCCACACUGACGCUGAGGCACGAAAGCGUGGGUAUCGAACAGGAUUAGAUACCCGAGUAA